CAUUUUCGGGUGCUGGGACCGGUCUCUGGACUUGAGGGACCGGUCCCCGAAUGUCCAGAAAAACAGCAUUCCAGACUUAGCCAAAUUUUUAGCUUUUUCAGCUUUCGGGGUCCGUUUUCGCUCCGUUUUCGCCCGUUUGACCUCCGAUUCGAUGACUCUCCAAACAUGUUUUCGAGCAUGUUUUCUUCAUCUUUUCAUCCA
rnacentral:lncRNA from 1 species